GCUAACUCCGUGCCAGCAGCCGCGGUAAUACGGAGGGUGCAAGCGUUAUCCGGAAUCACUGGGCGUAAAGGGCGCGUAGGCGGUCUGUUAAGUCCGAUGUCAAAUCCCGGGGCUCAACCCCGGAUCGGCGUUGGAUACUGGCAGGCUGGACGGCUGGAGAGGCGAGUGGAAUUACCAGUGUAGCGGUGGAAUGCGUAGAUACUGGUAGGAACACCCAUUGCGAAGGCAGCUCGCUGGACAGCACGUGACGCUGAGGCGCGAAAGUGUGGGGAGCAAACCGGAUUAGAUACCCCGGUAGUC
rnacentral:rRNA from 1 species